rnacentral:rRNA from 1 species
UCCGUAGGCGGUGUGGCAAGUCGGAAGUGAAAUCUCUGGGCUUAACUCAGAGGCUGCUUCCGAAACUGCCGUGCUAGAGUGCGAGAGAGGCAAGUGGAAUUGCGGGUGUAGCGGUGAAAUGCGUAGAUAUCCGCAGGAACAUCCGAGGCGAAAGCGGCUUGCUGGAUCGCAACUGACGCUGAGGGACGAAAGCUAGGGGAGCAAACAGGAUUAGAUACCCUGGUAGUCCUAGCCCUAAACCAUCAGGACUUGGGGUUUGCCCUGUACGGGGCAAGUCCCGUAGCUAACGCGUUAAGUCCUGCGCCUGGGGAGUACGGUCGCAAGGCCGAA